rnacentral:misc_RNA from 1 species
GAUGAAGAACGUAGCGAAAUGCGAUAAGUAAUGUGAAUUGCAGAAUUCAGUGAAUCAUCGAAUCUUUGAACGCACAUUGCGCCCCUUGGUAUUCCGGGGGGCAUGCCUGUUCGAGCGUCAUUAUAACCCCUCAAGCUCAGCUUGGUGUUGGGGCCUGCCAACUGGCAGCCCUUAAAAUCAGUGGCGGCGCCAUCUGGCUCUAAGCGUAGUAAUUUCUCUCGCUAUAGGGUCCCGGUGGAUGCUGGCCAACAACCCCCAAUUUUCUAUGGUUGACCUCGGAUCAGGUAGGGAUACCCGCUGAACUUAAGCAUAUCAAAAGCGGAGGA